AUUAAUAAUUAAUAUAUUUAAUAAAAAUAAUUUUAAUUUAAUAAAUAUUUUAAUGGGGGUUAAAGUAUUUUUUAAAGAAAAAAUUUUUAAAUUUAUAGUUAAUUAGUAUUGUGAAAGAAUUUUGAAAUAUUAUGAAAAAUAAAAUUUUUAUAAAGUAAUUUUUAUUUAUUGUAUCUUGUGUAUCAGAGUUUAUUAAAAAUUUUUAAUUUAUAAAUUAAUUUCUCGAAUUUAAAAGAGUUAAAUAAUUAUUAAAGUUAUUGUAGCAAAAUUAUUUUAAAUAAUUAUUUAGAAAUGAAAUGUUAAUCGUUUUUAAAUAUAUCUAGUUUUUAUAGAAAAAAAUUUAAUUUUAAAUUUAAAAAUUAUUUAAUUAAUUUAUUAAUUAAAUAAUUAUUUAAAUUUUAUAAUUUAAGGGAUAAGCUUUAAAUUAAAUUUUUAUAAUAUUAAAUUUUUAUUUUGAAAAUUUUAUAAUUUAUAUUGUUAAUAAAUUUUAUUUUGUUAUAAAUAAUUUCAUUUUUUUUAAAAUUUAAAUUUUAUUUAAUUUUUUAUAUAAAAUUUAUUUAUAAUUAUAUAAAGUUAAUUAUAAUGAUAAAAUUAGUAUAUUACUUAAUAUUAAAUUAAAAUUAAUUUUUGAUUAAUAAUUAAAUUAAUUAAAAGGAAUUCGGCAAAUAUUUAUUUUCACUUGUUUAUCAAAAACAUGUCUUUUUGUUAUUUAAUUUAAAGUCUAAUCUGCCCACUGAUUUAUAAAAAUUGAAGGGCUGCAGUAUAUUGACUGUACAAAGGUAGCAUAAUCAUUAGUCUCUUAAUUGGUGACUUGUAUGAAAGAUUGGAUGAAAAAUAUACUGUCUCUUAAUUAAUAUAUAGAAUUUAAUUUUUUAUUUAAAAAGUUAAAAUAAUUUAAAAAGACGAGAAGACCCUAUAGAGUUUAAUAAAUUAUUUUAUGAAAGUUUUAUUUAUAUUUACUAAUAAUUUUAUAAAUUUAUUUAUUUUGUUGGGGUGAUAAAAAAAUAAAUUUAACUUUUUUUAAGUAAUUUACAUGAAUAAGUGAUUAAU
rnacentral:rRNA from 1 species